rfam:Penicillium coprophilum strain IBT 31321 PENCOP_contig003, whole genome shotgun sequence.
UUUUAUGAUGAUUCACUUCAAUUUAUCACGACGGUCAACGUAAGGAUUUAAAAUUGACGACCACCGCCUGUGACAAGGCUUUAAUCUGAAA